rnacentral:rRNA from 1 species
UACGUAGGGGGCUUGCGUUGUCCGGAAUCAUUGGGCGUAAAGAGCGUGUAGGCGGCCCGGUAAGUCCGCUGUGAAAGUCGGGGGCUCAACCCUCGAAUGCCGGUGGAUACUGUCGGGCUAGAGUGCGGAAGAGGCGAGUGGAAUUCCUGGUGUAGCGGUGAAAUGCGCAGAUAUCAGGAGGAACACCGAUUGCGAAGGCAGCUCGCUGGGACGUCACUGACGCUGAGACGCGAAAGCGUGGGGAGCAAACAGG